rnacentral:rRNA from 1 species
CCUACGGGAGGCAGCAGUGAGGAAUAUUGGUCAAUGGGCGCAAGCCUGAACCAGCCAAGUCGCGUGAAGGAUGACUGCCCUACGGUUUGUAAACUUCUUUUAUAAAGGAAUAAAGUGAGGCACGUGUGCCUUUUUGUAUGUACUUUAUGAAUAAGGAUCGGCUAACUCCGUGCCAGCAGCCGCGGUAAUACGGAGGGUCCGAGCGUUAUCCGGUUUUUAUUGGUUUAAAGGGAGCGUAGGUGGGUUGUUAAGUCAGGUGUGAAAGUUUGCGGCUUAACCAAAGAAGUGCAAUUGAUACUGGCAGGCUUGAGUACAGGUGAGGUAGGCGGAAUUCGUGGUGUAGCGGUGAAAUGCUUAGAUAUCACGAAGAACUCCGAUUGCGAAGGCAGCUUACUAACCUGCCACUGACGUUGAUGCUCGAAAGUGUGGGUAUCAAACAGGAUUAGAUACCCUAGUAGUC